rnacentral:rRNA from 1 species
CUAUUUUUGAGUCUCUCUCUCUCUUAGGCAAUGUUGAAUGUGUUCGCGGAGCAUUACAACAGAGGGGGUCAUGCUCAAAAUGGGUGAAAACAACAUGCUUACACUGCAGUUGUCAAGAAUGUUCGUGAGAAGCGUAGUGUGGAUAUCAUAGAGGAGAAUCUCAUGUCAAGGUGCAAGACAAUUGAUAGACACUAUGUCACUGUCAGCAAGAUGUUGUCAAUGAGUGGUUUUGGGUGGGAUUAGGACCAUAACAAGCUUGUGGUUGAUAGUAAGGAUGUGUGGAGCAACUACUCUAAGGUAAACAAAGAUGUUCCUUAGUAUAGGAACAAGGUUAUCAAGUCCUGGGAUUCAAUCAACCUUGUCUUCUCGAAGGACCAUGCCACUGGAACAGGAGCCAGAACAGCUAUUGAAACUAUAGCCAAAAUGGUUGUAGAGAAUGUCAACAACAUCGACAGUGAAUCUGCUUCGACAUCUUCUACUAAAACCGAUGAGAAACAGAAAUGUAAAGGAUAUCAAUCGGAUGAGUCAAUUGCAUCUAUGCUUGGAGAAAACCUGGAUGACUUCACUAGCGACUAGAAAGCCAAUAUUGCUCUUGUUGCUCCUCUCGAGAAACUAUCCUCUCCCGAAGAGAUACUUGUCGUGCUCAAUGCAGCUGCGAGACUAGACGAUGAUGGUUUUCUAGAAACUUACGAUAUACUCAUGGCGGAUGACCGCAAGUUCAAGACUCUUAAGGCCUUCCAUGAUGGAAUGAAAAAGAAAUGGGUCCUAGAGUUAAGCUAUGACCUUACUUGA